rnacentral:lncRNA from 1 species
CAGCCUCAAGUUACAGCAACUCGCUACUCCCCAAGGAAAGCAAGGGCGUUGCUGGAGCACCGCGAACAGAUCUGUAGUCAUCUUAAGAUGACAUACACAACUGGCAUCAGAGAGGUGGUGAGGCUUUUUUCCAGUUUGAAAUCAAACAAGUAAGAUCACUUCCCUCUUUGUCUGUGCUGCUGUGAUGGGACUGCCAACCCCCCCCCCCCCCCCCAGGCUCAGCUGCUUGCCAACUGCCAAGAAUUAUAGUACGGUUUUGCAGCCCAUUAAAAAUAAUUGGUGUAUGGAGAAUAGGUGAAACGGAGGGAGGAAAAAUUCAAAUUUGUUUGCAUUUUAAUGAGAAACUGCCUAACUCACAUUUCUCAAACCAAAAUGUGAACCAAAACACAGAUACCAUUUGAAACUGACACUUUUCUGAAUUUUUCGAUGCAGUUCUGCAACCAAAUAAUAUGAACAAAAAUGAAUAUUUUUUUGGGGUGGGAUGUGCAUAAAAGCACAUAUAUCUGUGAAACAGUCAUACAGGAAUGCAUUGUAUUGCAUGACAUUGCUUGCAAAAAUGUGUAUCUUGAUCAAAACUGCAAUGCACAAAUGUGUUUAUUUUUGAGAAAUUGUCACCAAAAUGCUAACGAAUUUUCAUGAGGAUUUUUUCCUUAUAAAAAUAAGCCAUAAAGUGCUGCGGAAAUGUCGGUAACUGAAAUUAAGUUUGGAAAAAUCUGAAACCUGGAGAACCAAAUUGACAGAUUUGUCCAUCUGCAAAAGGGCAUUAUAGAUGCAUCAGGUCAUUGUCAGAAAGGUGGAUGCAGAGUUAGUCCAGGAUCUUUCUCUUAGGAUUGUUUGGGAAAAUAGGAUUGACAUAAUCAUAGAAUUACAGAGCUGGGAGGGAACCCAAGGUUCAUCUAGUCUAUGGGUAGGCAAACUAAGGCCCAGGGACUGGAUCCAGCCCAAUCGCCUUCUAAAUCCGGCCCGUGGACGGUCUGGGAAUCAGCGUGUUUUUACGUGAGUAGAAUGUGUCCUUUUAUUUAAAAUGCAUCUCUGGGUUAUUUGUGGGGCAUAGGAAUUCGUUCAUUUUUGCUUCUUCCAGAUGUUUAGGCGGAAUCUCCUUUCUUAUACAGUGGUACCUCGGGCUAAGAACUUAAUUUGUUCUGGAGGUCAGUUCUUAACCUGAGACACCACUUUAGCUAGUGAGGCCUCCCGCUGCCGCCAUGUCACCACUUGAUUUCUGUUCUCAUCCUGAAGCAAAGUUCUUAACCCGAGGUACUAUUUCUGGGUUAGCGCAGUUUGAAACCUGAAGCAUCUGUAACCUGAAGCGUCUGUAACCCGAGGUACCACUGUAAUUUGAUGGCCACCAACUUGGAUGACAUUUUAAAAGGAUUAGAAAUAUUCACAGGGAUAAGACUAUCAAUGGCUUCUAGCCAUGAUAGCUAUCUCUGCUGUGCCUCCACUGUCUGAAGGCAUUGUGCCUGUGAAUACCAGUUGCUAGGGAUUGCAAGUGAGCAGAGUGCUGCUAUGCUGAGGUCCAGUUUUUGAGGUUCUCACUGCUGCUUGGUUUGAGAACAGGCUGCUGGACUAGAUGGGCCAUUAGCUUGAGCCAGCAGGUUCAUCUAAUGCUCUUAUGUGUUAGAACAUCUCAGUAGAUUUUUGAUAGUUGCGGACAUACAAUGCCUUCCAUGCAUUGGCCUUCCAUUGACAGAAAAUGGUGUGGCUAGAUUUACACCUACCGAAAUCUGUAUUGCCAAACACUAUAUUUAAUGUAGCAGUUCCCUAUUAAAUGUGGGUUAUUGUCAGGAUGCUGUCAGAGGCUCCUGGCUGGUUGCCCAGGAAAGUACAAAGACAAGGAAAAGUUUCUCGGCAUCCUUUUUUUAUUUCAAUCUUUACAGAGAAGGGCUAUAGAACCCAGCUUCUUGGAUAAUGGCAUUGUCCUGAGUGAAUCUCCACCCCCCUUCCCUCCCACUUCCUCAUUCGUCAUCAUCAUCAUCUCUGCUAUGAGUGCUGCUACGUGCCCUUUGUCUUUGAGCUCUUUGCUCUCCUACUUUUAAGGCUCACCAGGUUCUGGGAGAUGGAGGAUCUGGAAUGUUUUCUAAUGACAACAUGUCAGCUGGGUGUUGUUCUGGCUCUCCUAUGAUUUCCCAGCUUUCCCCCUCAUCUGCCUCUGAGCUGUGACCACCCGCAAACCACUGUUGUAAAUCUAGACUGUUUUCCUCUUCCUCCUCCCUGGAAGGGUCAGGAUGGGGAAGCAGUCUCCACCAUUCCUCCUCUGCCCAGUCCCUGACUUUUGCCUUUGUUGUAAGGAGUCAACAGAUACAGAGAUGGGAUCACUGGCACCUUGGAAGUGGAGGUCUUCGCCAUUCACUACUCCACACUGGGCUAGCUGGAUUCUUAACAUGGGCCUAACCCUAAAGGGGAUAUUGAAAUGCAGCCAGAGAUCACUGGUACUUUCUGACUCAGAAUUCUCUACUGCCAGGUAGAUCCCUCUGAUGACCUCAUGGAUGUUUUCUUUCACUCAUCGCAAUGACUCCAUGAUUGGGUGAGACAAGAAGCUUUAAAAUAUACAUCAGAGUGAAAAGUCAUUUUAUGACUGCGAUUACUGGGAAUAGCUGCCAAGGCACCUCAGGUGAGAAACUUCCAUAAAAACUGACACCCAGCCAACAUUGCUGCAGAUUGGAAAGGUGCAAAAUGGCAUUAUAAUGUCCAUGAUGAGAUAUUUUGGCUUCACAUUAGGACCAUAAGCCCCCAACAGCCAAAUUAGAUGGGACGUUAAAUGUUGUGGGUGCCCAAACAUGGUGUGGUAUAGGAGAGGGGAAGCUUAACCCUUCUGGUCUACUAUGGUCCUAGUGAAAAUUGACUCUUAAAUCCUCUAGAAGUCUGUGGAAGGAAGCUGCCAUUGUCAUCAAUGGAAACUUCAGGGUGGGACGCCCUCCCACCAGAUGUCAAAGAGAACAACAACUACCAAACUUUUAGAAGACAUCUGAAGGCAGCCCUGUUUAGGGAAGCUUUUAAUGUUUGAUGCGUCACUGUAUUUUAAUAUUUGGUUGGAAGCCACCCAGAGUGGCUGGGGAAGACCAGCCAGAUGAGCGGGGUAUAAAUAAUAAAUUAUUAUUAUUAUUAUUAUUAUUAUUAUUAUUAUUAUUAUUUAUUAUGGGACAAUGGGGAGAAAAGUUAACCCCAUCAUCCCACCGGCAACUGUAGUUUGGGCAAAACAGACAAGCACACAAACAAGGCAUGCUAAAUACACUGAGACAUUUAAUGCCACAUUAAAUGUGACAUUUGCACGCAAAGACUCACAUGGCCUAAUACCCAACAUCUCCCUGUAGGGCAGGCCUGAAACAAUAGAUAGCCAUUGCCAGUCAGUGUAGAAAAUACUGAGCUAGAUACAACAUUAGUUCAAUUUCAUCAAAUGAAACUUGCUCGGCUCUCUAUUUUCCUCUCUGUGCCAGGACCUAGCUGAAUCUCGCCUCUCUUGACAUCAAUAACCUGAAAGAAUGACAUUUCACUGCACACCUACACCAUUCGUGGCCCAUUUAUGAGAGUCUAGCCUCCAAGCAUUGUUGGCCUGCCAUAGGUUUGAUACACCUCUCUGUUUUUGCAGUUACUUUCCCCAUUUCUGUUUUUUUUUUUUUUAAAUAAUUUUUAUUAAGGUUUUAAACAAAGAAAAAAGAAAAACAACACACACAAAGAACAAUAACAAUAAAAACAGAAAACAUAACAAUUAAAAACAAACUCUCUUUUCCAUUUCCAAUUUUAAAUUACUUAUUUUCUGGACUUCCUCAUACCUCCCUCUUUUGUAUUCCAAUCCACAUUAUUUAUCCAGCAGUUUCUUUUCCACUUUUUUUAAUCCCCAUCUUUAAUUUAAUAAAAUAUUAAAAUAUAUAACUUCACUUUUUUAAACCUAAUCCUUACUCUUAAUGUCAUAUAGCUUCAAAUUUUUCCCUUUUAUUAUCAAAUUUCCAUUUCUUUAAACAUCUUUAAUCUUAAUCUUUAAUCUUAAUCUAUCCUUAUCUUUAACCUGUACAACUGGAAACCACUUAUUUUCAGUCCAACAUCACUCUAACAUUCCUUAAUUUUGCAGUGUUUCUGAAGAUAGUCUUUGAAUUUCUUCCAGUCUUCCUCCAUCGACUCUUCUCCCUGGUCACGGAUUCUGCCAGUCAUUUCCGCCAAUUCCAUGUAGUCCAUAAGUUUCAUCUGCCAUUCCUCCAGCGUGGGAAGUUCUUGUGUCUUCCAAUACUUUGCGAUGAGUAUUCUUGCUGCUGUAGUUGCAUACAUAAAGAAAGUUCUAUCUUUUUUUAACACCAUUUGGCCCACCAUGCCCAGGAGAAAGGCCUCUGGUUUCUUGGGAAAGGUAUACUUAAAUACCUUUUUUAAUUCAUUAUAUAUCAUUUCCCAGAAAACCUUAAUCUUUGGGCACGUCCACCAAAGGUGAAAAAAUGUACCUUCAGUUUCUUUACAUUUCCAACAUUUGUUAUCGGGCAAGUGAUAAAUUUUCGCAAGCUUGACUGGGGUUAUGUACCACCUGUAUAUCAUUUUCAUAAUAUUCUCUCUUAAGGCAUUACAUGCCGUAAAUUUCAUACCAGUGGUCCAUAACUGUUCCCAGUCAGCAAACAUAAUGUUGUGUCCUACGUCCUGUGCCCAUUUAAUCAUAGCCGAUUUUACCGUUUCAUCUUGAGUAUUCCAUUUCAGCAGCAAGUUAUACAUUCUUGACAGAUUCUUAGUAUUGGGUUCUAACAAUUCUGUUUCUAAUUUCGAUUUUUCCACCUGGAAGCCAAUUUUCCUGUCUAAUUUAAAUGCCUCCAUUAUUUGAUAAUAAUGAAGCCAGUCUCGCACUUUGUUUUUUAAUUUUUCAAAACUCUGCAAUUUCAGUCUAUCUCCGUACUUUCCCCAUUUCUGUGAACAUGCCACACAUACAGGAAUCUCUCUUUAUGAAAUGACAUGAGUUAUUUCUACCAGUUUUUGGCAGCAAACAUGUUUAUUUUCCAAAUAAUUUGAGUAAGACUUUAUAUAGAAGUUCUGUAGCCAUGGCUCCCCCCCCCCCAAGAAAACAUUCUUUUGGAUUUAUUUCACUAACAGUACACAAGUGUUACUCAGUGGUGGCAGCAUCGGGGUGAUUCUGUAUUAUUAGUUCUUGCACCAAAGAGAGAAAAAACAGGGGAGGUGUUCUUCUCCAGCCUAAGUAGCAGCAGACUGUCCCCUGUUAUCACCACUAGGAGGAGACAAAGAGGAAGAAAAUGGUGCUGAAAUUGGUGACCACAACAAAAUCCCCAUGUCAGCAGUUAUUAUCAGUUGUUAUUUACCCUUUGUCAUGAGGUCCCAUGGAGGGUUACAACAAUUAAAACACUAUGUUGAAACCAAUUUGAAACAGAAUUACAGAAUUAAAUGAGAAGUCUGGUGAAACUCAAAUGGUUUCCCAGUUUCAACAGGCUCCUCUAAUUUUCUGCUUAGAGUAAAAAGGUAAGGCAAUUUUAUCAAGGAUUCCAGUCUUGAUUUCCACCUGCACUUACUUCCAAGUAAUUAUGCUUAAGAAUUCAGCUUUUGGCUGCAAAUGUAUACCCAAGCCUGUUUGAAUAUAAGAUUUAGGCCAACAACCAAUUCACGCUUUUCUAGAAAAAGAGGUGCCAGAGCUCACCAUGAACAGCUUCCUCGUUCUCUUAGAAAGGCAACGGGGCCCUCCAAGAAGUGUUGGAACUGAGUUCAAGUGAGUUCCAGCUGAAAAAAAGCCCUGUCCAAAACAAUAUGCAAACCGAAACACAGCUUUUCAUUGAAAUAUGCACUUUUCUGAAUUUUGCAACGCAAUUCUCCAGCCAACUUAUGCACACAAAAUGCAUGUACUAUGAAAUAGUGUGCAUAAAAUGAAAAUAUUUGUGAAAAUAACAUACACUGUAUUAGUGAAAAUUGCUUUGCAAAAAAAUAUGUAUAUUAGGAUAAGAUCAACAAAGAUGCUGCUGAUGAACUUUCAUGAGGACAUAAAAAGAAAAAACACAAGUUUUUAGUCUUAGGAAGUUUCUCCUAACGUUAAGCAGUUUUCCUAUUAGAUGUGGUCUGGAGCAACAUAAAGAAAAGGGGAAGGCAGAAUAGAGAGAGGUGGAAGGUAAGACGAAUGUUGGCCCAGCAGAGGGCAGCGUUGCAGUGUCUACAGACUUAAAGACCACAGUGCUUUGCAUCAAUGUGAAGAUACAUGGAACGCAUAAAGCUGCCUUAGACCAAGUCAAGCCAUUCAUCUGAAAUUCACUGGAUAUAGCCUGUAUUCAGCCCUCAUAAGCAGCGUCCAGGCGGAAAUCGUUGAAAUGUUUGGGAAAAUCCAGACGUUUGUGGCGAAUGUAAUGAAAAAUAGCUCAGAAACUCUUUUUUUUUUUUUGAGACAAAACUCAACAACUUUGGGCAAAACUUAAACAAAAGCUCAAGAACUUUUGUGUCCGGAUUUUCACCUUUUCAAAUAUGGCAACCCUAGUCCUUCCCCAGCCUUAGAAGCUGGGGAUUGAACCCGCAACCUUUUGCAAGCAAAGCUAUGAGCCUUCCCCAUCCUUUUGUGAUGAUGACUUAUCAAUGCACCAAACAUGCACUCCUGUGAACUGAAAAAAUCACAUAAAUAAGCAAACUUGGAGGAA